AGUUCUUCCCCUGACCAACCCUCCCGCUUGAGACCCCUUGCUACCCGAUACCAAGCCUCUACAGCUUUCGUUAACCCGUCAUCCAGUAACAAACCCUCUUUAUCAACAAGUAAUUUCCUCCAAAACACUGGUUGUAAUCUACCACUGGGUGACAUUUGAAAACCACAAAUCUUUGCUAUCUUCUUCAUUUUUAAAAUAGCCUCUUCCCC